GAGAUCACGUGAUGUGACAAGCGUCAAGUCACCUGACCUUGAUGGCUUUUCAGCAACGAGAAAAACCAAAACCAAGGUUUUUGUUUGUUUGUUUUUUUUAGGUUGGUUUCCACGACGACCAAGGUGUCCCGGGUUCGUUCGUACGCCGCCGACGGCAAACCUUUGCCUGAAGACACGCAGCCGCUGACCUGCUCUCACACCUCGACCUCGAAAACGACGCUCCCAGGUCUGGUGCACGCCGUACGCGACCGGGGACCGGAACCGCCUCAGGAACCAGAGACGGCGGCGCAACCUGAACAGCCGCGAGAGAGCGACCCGGCGAACGGGUGUGCCGGGUGUUUGCCAACACGUCGAAAGGAGUCACUGUCAAAUGUCCGUCUGUCGUCGUACUCGAGCGCCUCGGAUCCCUUGUGUGUUUUUCACCCACUUGGCGAAAUAAAGACAAUUCUGAAUCCGAUGCAGACGUGUCGGCGAAAA